AGCAGCCGUACCAUGCUGAAUAUACCGGUUCUCGUUAGAUCACCGAAGUCAAGCAUCAUUGGGCGCGGUCAGUACUUGGGUGGGUGACCACCUGGGAACACCGCGUGCCGUU
rnacentral:rRNA from 1 species